CAAUAGCGUAUAUUAAAGUUGUUGCAGUUAAAAAGCUCGUAGUUGGAUUUCUGGUGGGAGCGAUCGGUCUGGCGCUUAGCGCGAGUACUUGCAUCGUCUCCGGCCAUCCUUGGGGAGAGUCUGUCUGGCAUUAGGUUGUCGGGCAGAGGAUCCUCAUCGUUUACUGUGAAAAAAUUAGAGUGUUCAAAGCAGGCUUAUGCCGUUGAAUAUAUUAGCAUGGAAUAAUAAGAUAGGACUUUGGUACUAUUUUGUUGGUUUGCGCACCAAAGUAAUGAUUAAUAGGGACAGUUGGGGGUAUUCGUAUUCCGUUGUCAGAGGUGAAAUUCUUGGAUUUACGGAAGACGAACUACUGCGAAAGCAUUUGCCAAGGAUGGUUUCAUUAA
rnacentral:rRNA from 1 species